AAAGGUGUAGAUUAGUGGGAGACUGAAUGCUUAGCAUGCAUUAGGCUCCUGGUUAGAUCCCUGGCACCUCAA
rnacentral:tRNA from 1 species